rnacentral:guide_RNA from 1 species
AAACAAAACAACAGUGAAAUAUAUCGUAAAUUGUAUGUGAAAUU